GUAGGUGGCAAGCGUUGUCCGGAAUUAUUGGGCGUAAAGCGCGCGCAGGCGGUUCUUUAAGUCUGAUCUGAAAGCCCACGGCUCAACCGUGGAGGGUCAUUGGAAACUGGAGAACUUGAGUACAGAAGAGGAAAGCGGAAUUCCACGUGUAGCGGUGAAAUGCGUAGAGAUGUGGAGGAACACCAGUGGCGAAGGCGGCUUUCUGGUCUGUAACUGACGCUGAGGCGCGAAAGCGUGGGGAGCAACCAGGAUUAGAUACCCUGGUAGUCCACGCCGUAAACGAUGAGUGCUAAGUGUUAGGGGGUUUCCGCCCCCCUUAGUGCUGCAGCUAACGCAUUAAGCACUCCGCCUGGGAGUACGGCCGCAAGGCUG
rnacentral:rRNA from 1 species